rnacentral:rRNA from 1 species
UACGUAGGGGGCAAGCGUUGUCCGGAUUCAUUGGGCGUAAAGAGCGUGUAGGCGGCCAGGUAGGUCGGUUGUGAAAACUGGAGGCUCAACCUUCAGAGGUCGACCGAAACCAUCUGGCUAGAGUCCGGGAGAGGAGAGUGGAAUUCCUGGUGUAGCGGUGAAAUGCGCAGAUAUCAGGAGGAACACCGGUGGCGAAGGCGGCAUCCUGGACCAACACUGACACUGAGGAGCGAAAGCCAGGGGAGCAAACGGG